rnacentral:rRNA from 1 species
CCUACGGGAGGCAGCAGUGGGGAAUAUUGGGCAAUGGGCGCAAGCCUGACCCAGCAACGCCGCGUGAAGGAAGAAGGCCCUCGGGUUGUAAACUUCUUUUAUCAGGGACGUAACAACUGACGGUACCUGAUGAAUAAGCCAAGGCUAACUACGUGCCAGCAGCCGCGGUAAUACGUAGGUUGCAAGCGUUGUCCGGAUUUAAUGGGUUUAAGGGGCGUGUAGGCGGGCUGACAAGUCAGAUGUGAAAUCCGGUGGCUCAACCACCGAACUGCAUUUGAAACUGGUGGUCUUGAGUAUCGGAGAGGUAGGCGGAAUGCCUGGUGUAGCGGUGAAAUGCGUAGAUAUUAGGAGGAACACC